rnacentral:rRNA from 1 species
AGUGAACGCUGGCGGCGUGCCUAACACAUGCAAGUCGAACGGGCUAGUGCUUCGCACUAGUCUCUUUCUGGGGUUGCUACUCUAAGGCUACCUGCUAAAGUUAUUGCUUUAAAGCAGGGGUUUUUAGGGGACCUUCCCCAAAAGGGGCCAGUGCGGAGCACUGGCCAGUGGCGAACGGGUGAGUAACACGUGGGUAAUCUGCCCUCGAGUGGGGAAUAAGCUCCCGAAAGGGGGUCUAAUACCGCAUGACGUUUCAUAACGAUGGUUAUGAAACCAAAGCCCAAAAGGCGCUUGAGGAGGAGCCUGCGUCCUAUCAGCUUGUUGGCAGGGUAAUGGCCUACCAAGGCUAUGACGGGUAGCUGGUCUGAGAGGACGACCAGCCACACUGGGACGUGAGACACGGCCCAGACUCCUACGGGAGGCAGCAGUGGGGAAUUUUGGACAAUGGGCGAAAGCCGUGAUCCAGCCAUGCCGCGUCGCAGGAAGAAGGCCUUCGGUUGGUUAACGUACGUCGUUAGUCUUAA